AGAGUUUUUUUACUGGCUCAGAUUGAACGCUGGCGGCAUGCUUUACACAUGCAAGUCGAACGGCAGCGAGGAGAAGCUUGCUUUUCUUUCGGCGAGUGGCGAACGGGUGAGUAUAGCAUCGGAACGUGCCAAGUAGUGGGGGAUAACCAAACGAAAGUUUGGCUAAUACCGCGUAAGCUCCAAGGAGGAAAGUAGGGGACCUAAAUAAGGCCUUACGCUAUUUGAUCGGCCGAUGUCGGAUUAGCUAGUUGGUGGGGUAAUGGCUCACCAAGGCAAUGAUCCGUAGCGGGUCUGAGAGGACGAUCCGCCACACUGGGACUGAGACACGGCCCAGACUCCUACGGGAGGCAGCAGUGGGGAAUUUUGGACAAUGGGGGAAACCCUGAUCCAGCCAUGCCGCGUGUAUGAAGAAGGCCUUAAGGUUGUAAAGUACUUUUAGUAGGGAAGAAAACAUAGUUUUUAAUAAAAAGUGCUGAUGCCGGUACCUCAAGAAUAAGCACCGGCUA
rnacentral:rRNA from 1 species